GAGGAAGAUGACUGCAAAGAAGGCCCAGACCAGGACCAUGAUCUUGCUGGUGGUGCCUCGGGGGUUCUCGAUGGGCACUGAGUUGUUGAAGACCAGCGCCCACAGCAGCCACACAGACUUGCCGAUGGCCCCUGCCGGUUGUCUGGAAGCCAGAGACCUCCCCCAGGACCCAGCCUUCUCUGAGGAGCCCCUGCGGCCCUGAGCCCGGCCCCAUCCCCAUGCUCUCUCCGCCCAGGCCUGGCUGAGAGCUUACUCUUGCCGCUGGUGAGGUUCUUGUUGUAGCUGACAGGGCUAAAGUACUCAAACAUGAAGACCGUGACGGCCACCACGGGCCCGGAAGCCCCAGGAGCUGGGGAGACCAACUGAGCUCCUCUGACCCGUCUACUCAAUGGCUUCAGUCUCCCUGAGCAAGGAGGCAUGACUGCCCUCAGGCCUCCGGCCAACCUCCAAGGCACCCACAGCUGCCGUGCUGGCCCUCUGAGCCCCACC